AGACCCGAAACCCGGUGAUCUAGCCAUGGGCAGGUUGAAGGUUGGGUAACACUAACUGGAGGACCGAACCGACUAAUGUUGAAAAAUUAGCGGAUGACCUGUGGCUGGGGGUGAAAGGCCAAUCAAACCGGGAGAUAGCUGGUUCUCCCCGAAAGCUAUUUAGGUAGCGCCUCGUGAAUUCAUCUCCGGGGGUAGAGCACUGUUUCGGCUAGGGGGCCAUCCCGGCUUACCAACCCGAUGCAAACUGCGAAUACCGGAGAAUGUUAUCACGGGAGACACACGGCGGGUGCUAACGUCCGUCGUGAAGAGGGAAACAACCCAGACCGCCAGCUAAGGUCCCAAAGUCAUGGUUAAGUGGGAAACGAUGUGGGAAGGCCCAGACAGCCAGGAUGUUGGCUUAGAAGCAGCCAUCAUUUAAAGAAAGCGUAAUAGCUCACUGGUCGAGUCGGCCUGCGCGGAAGAUGUAACGGGGCUAAACCAUGCACCGAAGCUGCGGCAGCGACACUCAGGUGUUGUUGGGUAGGGGAGCGUUCUGUAAGCCUGCGAAGGUGGCCUGUGAGGGUUGCUGGAGGUAUCAGAAG
rnacentral:rRNA from 2 species